GCCGGGCAUGGUGGCGCAUGCCUGUAAUCCCAGCUGCUCGGGAGGCUGAGGCAGGAGAAUCACUUGAACUCGGGAAGCAGAGGCUGUGGUGAGCCGAGAUAGCACUAGCCUGGGUGACAGAGUGAGACUCUGUCUCAA
ensembl:misc_RNA Metazoa_SRP Metazoan signal recognition particle RNA